AUAACUCUGAGACUAUAUCCAUAUAUAUGGCCUUGUGUAAAAAUAUAUGACAGCUCCUUAACCAUGUCUUGAUGUCUAGUGGAGUGAGUGUAUACUCUUCAGAACAUCGCCCUAAAUCUGGCUAAUUUAUAGGGCAUAGGAUCAUGGUAUGGGACCAUAGAAAUUCAAAUAUAUUUAUAAAACAUUAAAAUAAAGCACUCAGUUUAUUUUAUAGUUGCCAAUGUAUCCUGGUACAUCAGAUUUUUAUUUAAAAUAAGCUUCUUAUUACUAAUAUAGGAUAAACUCAGUUUAUUUUUAGGGAGUUUUAGCUGUUGGUCUAGCUUUGUUAAAAAUAAGUUAACAUUAAGAAAAAAGGAUACUUAACUGUAGUCUUGUUUUUUUAAUGUUACAGUUAAGAAACACUUUUGAAAGAAUAUUGCAGUUAGCCUCAUUACAGUGCAGCCUAAAGAUGAUUAAAAAAGGGCAAUUCUUUUACAAAUACUACUAUACAAAUGGCUCUUUGGCCAAAGCACCAAAAAAUGAAUCAAUUGAAGAAGCCAUCUUCAUAUUUGUUCAUUUCAUCUACUUUUAUCUCUUUCUCUCCUUCCUAACUUUUUUAUUGUAUUCCUUCCCUCAUUUUGCCAUCUACUCUCUUCCUAUUGGCUAAAUAUGUGAGUAGGGUCUUGUUUUCAUUUUACAAUACAAUCCAUUCAAAAAUAUUAAUUUAUCAAAUGCUUUACAAAUAAGAUCAGGAAUGUAUAAAUAGAUAAGUUUUAAGGAGUAAAUAUGGGGAUUCUAUGCAUAUAUCAUUUAAUAUUAAAUGGAAAUGUAAUAAUCUAUGUACUGAUUUUUCUGCUCAAUAAUCUAUGCAUUUUCUGAUACUUUUGAUCAUUUAGAAAAUAUGAGAAGAUUGUUUUACAGCUGAUUUUGGACAAAAGAUUAUGCUCCCAAUGAUUGUAUACACCGG
rnacentral:lncRNA from 1 species